rnacentral:rRNA from 1 species
AUGCAAGUCGAGGGGUAGAGUUCUUCGGAACUUGAGACCGGCGCACGGGUGCGUAACGCUUAUGCAAUCUACCUUUCACAGAGGGAUAGCCCAGAGAAAUUUGGAUUAAUACCUCAUAGUAUUAUAGAGUGGCAUCAUUUUAUAAUUAAAGUCACAACGGUGAAAGAUGAGCAUGCGUCCCAUUAGCUUGUUGGUAAGGUAACGGCUUACCAAGGCAACGAUGGGUAGGGGUCCUGAGAGGGAGAUCCCCCACACUGGUACUGAGACACGGACCAGACUCCUACGGGAGGCAGCAGUGAGGAAUAUUGGUCAAUGGGCGCAAGCCUGAACCAGCCAUGCCGCGUGCAGGAUGACGGUCCUAUGGAUUGUAAACUGCUUUUGCACAGGAAGAAACACUCGGACGUGUCCGAGCUUGACGGUACUGUGAGAAUAAGGAUCGGCUAACUCCGUGCCAGCAGCCGCGGUAAUACGGAGGAUCCAAGCGUUAUCCGGAAUCAUUGGGUUUAAAGGGUCCGUAGGCGGUUUAGUAAGUCAGUGGUGAAAGCCCAUCGCUCAACGGUGGAACGGCCAUUGAUACUGCUAAACUUGAAUUAUUAGGAAGUAACUAGAAUAUGUAGUGUAGCGGUGAAAUGCUUAGAGAUUACAUGGAAUACCAAUUGCGAAGGCAGGUUACUACUAAUGGAUUGACGCUGAUGGACGAAAGCGUGGGUAGCGAACAGGAUUAGAUACCCUGGUAGUCCACGCCGUAAACGAUGGAUACUAGCUGUUGGAAGCAAUUUCAGUGGCUAAGCGAAAGUGAUAAGUAUCCCACCUGGGGAGUACGUUCGCAAGAAUGAAACUCAAAGGAAUUGACGGGGGCCCGCACAAGCGGUGGAGCAUGUGGUUUAAUUCGAUGAUACGCGAGGAACCUUACCAAGGCUUAAAUGUAGAUUGACCGGUUUGGAAACAGACUUUUCGCAAGACAAUUUACAAGGUGCUGCAUGGUUGUCGUCAGCUCGUGCCGUGAGG